AAAGGAAUUGACGGGGGCCCGCACAAGCGGUGGAGCAUGUGGUUUAAUUCGAUGCAACGCGAAGAACCUUACCAGGUCUUGACAUCUGUGGGACCUUUACGAAAGUAGAGGGUGCCUUUUAGGAGCCACAAGACAGGUGGUGCAUGGUUGUCGUCAGCUCGUGUCGUGAGAUGUUGGGUUAAGUCCCGCAACGAGCGCAACCCUUGCUAUUAGUUGCUAACAUUUUAGGUGAGCACUCUAAUGGGACUGCCUGUGACAAGCAGGAGGAAGGUGGGGAUGACGUCAAAUCAUCAUGCCCUUUAUGAUCUGGGCUACACACGUGCUACAAUGGAUGGUACAAAGAGGAGCAAAACCGCGAGGUCAAGCGAAUCUCAUAAAGCCAUUCUCAGUUCGGAUUGGAGUCUGCAACUCGACUCCAUGAAGUCGGAAUCGCUAGUAAUCGCGAAUCAGAAUGUCGCGGUGAAUGCGUUCCCGGGCCUUGUACACACCGCCCGU
rnacentral:rRNA from 1 species